UCAUUUCUUUUCUUUCCCACUAUUCCAAAGAACCCUAAAACCCUCAUUGUCCCUCUGCUCCACCGUCUCCUUUUCCAACGUUCAUCAGUCCAAACUACCAAAACCCCCCUCCCUCCACUAUGCAAUCUCUUCGACGCUCUCUCCCCCGCCGCCGCCGCCACGAGUUCCACCGCUCCUUGUUCGACGUCGCAUCCAUCAAAUGGGUCCGAGACCGAGCCAUCGACCACGCCGUGGAGAAAGAAGGAAACCUCCAACCCUUGCUCAACCUCAAGAACCUCCUCAAGUUCGAGCCGUCCAAGUCCCUCCCACUCCCUCUCAUCGCCCAGCACAGAGAGUCCCUCGGCAUCGCCUCCCGCCCCGUCGAUUUCAUCCGCAGGUACCCUUCCGUCUUCCAAGAAUUCUUCCCCGGUGGAAUCGGUAUCCACCCGCACGUCAAAUUGACCCCCGAAAUACUCUUGCUCGAUGCCGAGGAACACUUUAUUUACCAGAGCGAUGAUAACAAAAGAGCAGGCGCUGACCGCCUUUUGAAGCUCUUGAUGUUAGCUAGAAUCAAUAAAUUCCCAUUACACAUCGUAGAAAGGUUGAAAUGGGACUUGGGUUUGCCCCAUGAUUUUACCCAAACCCUGGUCCCCGAGUUUCCUGACUAUUUUCAAGUCACUGGUGGGAAUGGGAAUCGUUCUGAUCCCCAUCUUGAAUUGGUGUGUUGGAGCGACAAGCUGGCGGUUUCGGUGAUGGAGAAGAAGGCUUGCAAAAAGGGUACGCCUAUUGCGUUCCCUUUGCAAUACUCAAGAGGUUUCGAGGUGGAUAAGAAGUUCAAGAAGUGGGUUGAUGAGUGGCAGAAGCUGCCUUAUGUUUCUCCGUAUGAAAAUGCAUUACAUCUACCGGCCAAGAGUGACGAGGCAGAUAAAUGGGCCGUGUCGGUGCUGCACGAGCUUCUCCAUCUUCUUAUUGCGAAGAAGACGGACAGAGAAAAUGUGCUUUUGCUUGGGGAGUGUUUGGGGCUCCGAGCGAGGUUUAAAAGGGCAUUGCUUCAGCACCCUGGUAUAUUUUAUCUUUCGAGUAAAAUUGGGACACAUACCGUGAUUUUGAGGGAGGGUUACAAGAGGAAUCUGCUGAUUGAGAAUCAUCCGUUGAUGGAUAUGAGGGGUAAGUAUAUUCAUCUGAUGAACACAAUUAAGGAAGAUAAGAAAACAAAAGGUUUGCAGAGUAAAAAUACUCAGCAACCGAAAUUGGCCCAUUCUUCCAAAGGAGAAGGAGAAGAAAUGCAGGAUGGUGAAACUGAAAAGGGACGAGAUGGGGAGUCAUAUGACUUUUCAGAUUCUGAGGUUGAGGAAGGCAGUGAUGAUGACUAUAGUGAUGCGGAUAGGAGUCAAAUGGUUUCUCAGGUGAAUGCUAGAGGUGAUAGAGUUAAGACAAGGAGGACACUGAAGUAUGAGGCUAAGAGGCCUUUAAGAUCUCCAAAUAGUUUAGAAGGAAGAAACCCCAGGAAGACAAGAAACAAAGAACCCACUGAAGUUUCUCGAAAUACAGUAAUGCAUGGAAGGCGUAAAAUUCGUGGGCAGUCACCCGGGAGAUUGGAAUUCUCAAGAGAUAGGGGGCGGCCAAAUUUGGAUACGAAAGCUUCUGUUUUGAAAUGAUAAUGUUUGUUUUCUGAAGCACAUUUUGAGGUUUUCGUCUCUAGAAGCUAAAGCAACAUCAUCCCAAUUCAGGUUAUCAUCGUCAAACACAAGCUCCUCCUCUAUCCUCCCAACCAACCAGUCAUUGCUUUCAUCAAUGACUUUCAAGGAGAUGGAACUAAUAUACCGCAUUUCAGGGCUCUGUAUCGCCACCGUAGUUGUCAAAAGGCCAUGUUUUGAUCUUUGAUUUUUUGGGGAGGGAUUUGAAAAGAAAAGGAACCGGUAAAGAUACUUGAACCAUACCCAAGUCCGUGCAUUCUUUCCCUUUACUUUUCUAUUUCUGCCACAAAACCCUUCCCUUCUAGAUCAGAAUACAGGCACAAGGGCAAGGGAUAAUUUUGGCAAGUUGACCUGGCCAGUCGCACUGAUCAAAAGGAUUGCAAAGAGUACAGAACGGGUUGCAGAGCUGUUUGUUAAUCCAAAGGCCGCCGAAGAAGACUCUCAGCAAAGCCCGCUUAAUAACUACGUUAAGUUCUUAAAAAUUGACGACUGCAGAAGAAUGAAACAACAAUGGUCAGAAGCAGAACAAAGGUGGAUAACAAGAAAGAACCAUGAUCGGCAACAAGCUUGAAGCACAUUCUACUGAUGAAAUGCUAGCUUUAGUGUAAAUUGCCUCUGUACUCUUGUGUUAAUGGGAUCUGUUGUAAGUUUUGGAAGGACAAAAUAUAAAGGACCGUUUUCAUUUCAGAUAUUUUUUCGGUUAAUAUAUAUUUUUUAUUUUGUGUUUUUGAAACAAA